rnacentral:rRNA from 1 species
AAUUAACCUAACAAAAUUGUCUGCCAGAGAACUACUAGCAACAGCUUAAAACUCAAAGGACUUGGCGGUGCUUUACAUCCCUCUAGAGGAGCCUGUUCUAUAAUCGAUAAACCCCGAUAAACCUCACCACCUCUAGCUAAACCAGUCUAUAUACCGCCAUCUUCAGCAAACCCUUAAAAGGAAGAAUAGUAAGCACAAUAAUAAUACAUAAAAAAGUUAGGUCAAGGUGUAACCCAUGAGGUGGAAAGAAAUGGGCUACAUUUUCUAAAUAAGAACACACCCACGGAAGUUUUUAUGAAACUAAAAACUGAAGGCGGAUUUAGUAGUAAAUUAAGAAUAGAGAGCUUAAUUGAAUCGGGCCAUGAAGCACGCACACACCGCCCGUCACCCUCCUCAAGCAGUACUAAUUCAACUAUAACAUAUUAACGAACAACACAUGCAAGAGGAGACAAGUCGCUAACAAGGUAAGCAUACUGGAAAGUGUGCUUGGAUUAAU